GGUUGUAAUGACAAUGUUUUCAUGGUGUUAGGAGUAAGACUUGGAUAUCUGAUACUGUUAACAUGUUGGUUAGCAUCACGUUUCCAUAUGGUUACUUGAUGGGUAGUAAUUAGAGCUGUUUUAAGUUGAAAGUGUUACUGUUGCUGCCUGGUAUGGUAAAAUCCUCAGACGUUAUUCCUGCUAACCAUCUGAUGAACUGUUGCUAUCUUUUUAGUAGAACCCGUAGACAGUAUAUAUAGUCUUGUAAGCAGAAGAAUGAAUUGUUAACAAAUUUUGUUUUUUAUUCUGUAUUGAGUGAUCCAAAUUUUUCAUUAUUUUUACUUGCAUUCAAUUAUUGUAUUGUGAUUGAUGAAAUAUAAAACUGUGAAAUUAUUGUUAUUUGAGGGGUC